ACGAAUCGAGUUAUUCGAAUCAACUCAAUUUUUUUUUUGAAUUUCGAGUUCGAAUCGAGUUGAGUUUUCGAAUUCAAAUAACUCAAAUAAUUCGAAUAUCAAACUAUAAUAUUUUAUAUUUUUAUCCUAAACUCCCAAAUUAACUUUUUUACUUUUCCCUCAAAACUUUUACUCCUUCCCACUUUCCCCCCAAAACUUUUACUCCCCACCCCUCCCAACCCCCCAAUCUACCCAAAAUCCAUUUCCCACCAAAAUUUUACUCUUCCAUUUACUUUUUCUCAAAAUUUUACUCCCAAAAAUCCUCAAAACUUUUUAUUUUCCCCCAAAAUUUUUACUCCCUCUCACUUUUCCCCUAAAAAUUUUAUUAUCUUCCCAUCCCACCUCCCAUCUACCCCAAACCCUCCCCCCUCCAAUUUUUUUUUAAUAUUUUCCCUCCAAAAUUUUACUCCCCCUAUUUACUUUCCCUCAAACUUUUAUUCCCCAAAACUUUUUAUUUUCCCCCUAAACUUGUACUUCUCAUCCUUUACUCUCAAAUUAAAAAUCAAAAUUAUCCAAAAAAAAUAACUAAACAUAAAUAGUAAUAAUUU
rnacentral:lncRNA from 1 species